UCCGGAAUUAUUGGGCGUAAAGAGCUCGUAGGUCGUUUGUUACGUCGGAUGUGAAAACCUGAGGCUCAACCUCAGGCCUGCAUUCGAUACGGGCAAACUAGAGUUUGGUAGGGGAGACUGGAAUUCCUGGUGUAGCGGUGGAAUGCGCAGAUAUCAGGAGGAACACCAAUGGCGAAGGCAGGUCUCUGGGCCAAUACUGACACUGAGGAGCGAAAGUCUGGGGAGCGAACAGGAUUAGAUACCCUGGUAGUCCAGACCGUAAACGGUGGGCACUAGUUGUGGGAACCUUCCACGGUUUCUGCGACGCAGCUAACGCAUUAAGUGCCCCGCCUGGGGAGUACGAUCGCAAGAUUAAAACUCAAAGGAAUUGACGGGGCCCCGCACAAGCAGCGGAGCAUGCGGCUUAAUUCGACGCAACGCGAAGAACCUUACCAAGGCUUGACAUAUAGGGAAAAGUGGCAGAGAUGUCAUGUCCGCAAGGGCUCUAUACAGGUGGUGCAUGGUUGUCGUCAGCUCGUGUCGUGAGAUGUUGGGUUAAGUCCCGCAACGAGCGCAACCCUCGUUCUGUGUUGCCAGCAUUUAGUUGGGGACUCACAGGAGACUGCCGGGGUUAACUCGGAGGAAGGUGGGGAUGACGUCAAAUCAUCAUACCCCUUAUGUCUUGGGCUGCACGCAUGCUACAAUGGUCGGUACAGAGGGCUGCAAUACCGUAAGGUGGAGCGAAUCCCAAAAAGCCGGUCUCAGUUCGGAUUGAGGUCUGCAACUCGACCUCAUGAAGUUGGAGUUGCUAGUAAUCGUAGAUCAGCAACGCUACGGUGAAUACGUUCCCGGGGCUUGUACACACCGCCCGUCACGUCACGAAAGUCGGUAACACCCAAAGUCAGUGGCCCAACCGCAAGGGGGGAGCUGCCUAAGGUGGGAUCGGCGAUUGGGACGAAGUCGUAACAAGGUAGCC
rnacentral:rRNA from 1 species